ACGUUGCGCCAGCAACGGCCCGUAGGGCGAGCGAAGCGAGUCAUCCUGCACGACCCACCA
rnacentral:sRNA from 1 species